UGGCUGCUUCCUUUCCUGAUGGGCAAUUUCCUGCCACGUGUGGGCUGAUCAGUUCCGAGCUGAGUGCUCAGGCGGAACCUCUCCACAGCUCUGGGGAUCAUUCUGUCUUUGCAGCUCUCUCCUCUCUAUGUUCUGCCCCCGAACCCCAGCUUCCUUGGUUUUCCCAGGCUCCGCUCUGUUUCCUCAUCUUAAGGAUUCCACCAGACUCCGCUUGGACCACUUCUUCCUGCAACAUGGCCAGGAAACUCUCAAGGCCAAAGCUGGGGCAACUGCGGCUCUCCUCGGGUGAUUUCAUUUCUCCGUGAUCGCUGCCUAUUGUCCCAUCUCUUGAAAACCAAUGUUUCGUGUGUUUUGUCUUGUCUUUCAGUUGUCUCAGAUGGGAAGGUAAAUCUGGUCCCUGAUAGUCUAUCUUGGCUGGAAGCCCAUCAGCUCCAUUUUAAGCUUUGAGUCAUCCAUCCACACGUGGCUGCAGAGAGGGGGCAGGUACCUCCUCUUCUUCCCACUUGGCAGGAAUCGGAGCCCCAGCACCGGCCCUUCCAGAGCAACCAGCCCUCCCUGCAACCUCCCUUAUCACCCACCACCCUGUGCUGUCAGGAAAGAGUGGAAGGAUCCUUGCAACCAGCUCUUGACAAUUUUCUUUGAAAAUCUGUUUCUUCAUCUGGUUCCCCACGUUGGCGCAGUAUCUUUCUUUUAUUUGGAUGUCUCGGUGAGAAUUGAGGAGAUGACACACAGAGCCUACGGAUCACUCCUCAUUUCUCAGAUUCUGCCCGACCACCACUCAAAACGAGUCUCAAGGACACCUGAGGCACCGAUGGAUGGGGAGCCUUCCAGGCCAUCAUAGACCACCUGAACCUCAAAAAUGAGGACUGCUCUCCUCGCUCCCGCAAGUGGCACUCCUGGGAGAGAGGACACAUCAGGGCGCAGAGUGAGACGGACUCCACACAGCUCAGGACCGGCAAGGAGCAUCAGGCACAGAAAGAAGCUAAGGUUGGGGGACCCCACCCACACCACGAGCUGCAAAUGCUCCAAAUGCAUCACCUCAGUCCACCGCCAAAACCCCAGCGGGUAGGCAUGGUGAGCGUCUCCAUUUCACCAACGGAAAACCGAAGCUUAACGCUGUGAAGCCAUCU
rnacentral:lncRNA from 1 species